rnacentral:rRNA from 1 species
AAGCUAAUACCGGAUAAUAUAUUGAACCGCAUGGUUCAAUAGUGAAAGAACGGUUUUGUCUGUCACUUAUAGAUGGAUCCGCGCCGCAUUAGCUAGUUGGUAAGGUAACGGCUUACCAAGGCAACGAUGCGUAGCCGACCUUAGAGGGUGGAUCGGCCACACUGGAACUGAGACACGGUCCAGACUCCUACUGGAGGCAGCAGCG